rnacentral:lncRNA from 1 species
UUUCCAGUGGCCGUAACAUCCCGUCCUGACUGCUACUGGGGCCGUAACUGCCGCACUCAGGUGAAAGCUCACCACGCCAUGAAAUUCAAUCAUAUCUGUGAACAGACAAGGUUCAAAAACUAAGCAUCCAGAGGCCCUGAGCAGCUUUCAGCACUGGAGGUGAAGAGAGCGUGUUUUUAAAAUACAGAGACAAGCACGUCAAGGUGUUUUCACAGCCCCCUGAGGGAAGGGACGCAGGGUCUCCGACAGGUGCUCUGGGGUGACUCUUCUGUGGAGCUUUACCCUCUGAGUGAGACCCUCCCCAGAGCCCCGGGGGCCGCAGCCCGCCCUCCUGGUGAGCGCUGGGCAGGGCUCGUGGUGGCAUCAGCAGCAGAGACGAAGCCUUUCUGUAACAUGCGGCCGUCCCGCCGAGAGGGGCAGUUUUGCUCUUUUGUACAUUUUCCGAAACUACAGUUAAAGCAGAAGUCUGUUUUUAGGAAAAGUUUCAAGGGAGAAGGGCAAGUUUAUCAAAAACAUUGUUUCAGGAGAAGGGAGCAUAAGUUUACAGCCUACAGGACGUACACAAUAUCCUGCUGCUGGGAAAACCACAGCAUUUUAUCUAUUUUUUAUUUUAAUAGGUUUGGUGCUUAUCUUCUAAUAAGAUUUAAAUGUCACAAACUGUAGCACAAAUAAUAUAAUUUAUAAUUUACAAAUUGACUAAAAUUGGGUAUAGUAUGGUAUUUGAAAGAAUAAGCAUAUGCUUCUGUUUAUUAAAAAAAGAAACCUUCCAAUGUCCAAAACUGCUAACCCUCGACGUGGCCGCCAAGUUAGUCGCUCCUUGCUAACCGGUGAGUGACCGCGGCCCCGAGCCUGGGGCUGGACGCAGGUCCCAGGACAUGCUGCUCCCUUGUGUGAGUGACCGCGGCCCCGAGCCUGGGGCUGGACGCAGGUCCCAGGACGUGCUGCUCCCUUGUGUGAGUGACCACGGCCCCAAGCCCAGGGCUGGAGGCAGGUCCCAGGACGCGCCGCUCCCUCAUGCUGCCCGGGCCCUUCCUCCAAGACCCUACAGAGCCUGAGGGGCACCUUGGCUUCCGCCUGUGCUAGCUUUGCCAUGUCAUCUGGAAUAAUACUUGAAAUUUUGAUUUUUGGAAAAAAAAGUUUUUUAUCUUUUGUUGAAAUCACCUGUUAUCCUUGUUUGUAAACUGAUAACUUUUUUGCUUCUUCUCAGGAAUACAGUUUUCAACUGUUGUCUUGCUCUUGAUAGAAACUGAGAAGCAGCAAUCUGUAUUUGUGGAGGAAAGUCCUCUCUUUUGCAUAUUCUAAUAAAUGAGCCGCGUUUGCUCCUCCG